rnacentral:piRNA from 2 species
AGCUCCCUCGCUGCGAUCUAUUG